rnacentral:misc_RNA from 1 species
GUCGGUGAUAAUCACGACAAGCCGACGCCUCAACACGUAACCGUAACGUCAAAUGCCACGACACGGUCCAAGACGGAUCGAAAGUCACUUUCAACAGUGGCAACGGCAACGGCAACGGCAGCGGCAGGGCGCAUUCAUUGUCAUCGCCCCCACCUGCCACCGUGCCCCACGCCAGGCAGUGAAAAUUGCAGGAUAAUCACAGAGACUUGAGUUCUCAAGUGAAGGCCAGAGGGCGAAGGCUGAGAGAACGGAAUGCCUUUGGGGACGAGUCAGACUCUGUUUAUGCGUGUCCGUUUGCCUUUAGUUUUCAUCAACAAUUUGUAUCGUCGAUAUUGUGCCGGAAAGCCUCCCCCGCCCUUCUGUCGAUUUGAUCUGCGCCCGCUGCAAUUUCCUUAAAUUGCUCGUAAAUCGUUUGGAAUUUUCACUUGUCUCAGUUUGGAUUCUCCCUUGAAAGACUUCCACUUCCCCCACAUACUUCACAUAAUUCAGCAAACAUUUUCCCAUUUCACAUGGAGCGCAAGGACCAUAAACCAAAUAAAUCAAUAAAAAAUUAUGCGAAGUAAUGCAUGGAAAAGAAAUGGAAAUGGAAAUGUAAAUGGGGGAAAAUUGUGGAGGAAAAGCCGUAAGCAAGAGCAAGCGAAUCCGUAGAAGGCCGCAGCGAUGAAAUGAAAAACAAACUUUUGUAUUUAUUUCGUCCUGGCAAACGCAAUCCCCGGCAAUGCGAGGCCAACGACAGCGUCAGCAUCGAGAGAGAAAUUUUAAACGGCAUCUAAAGCUGCAAAUAUGAAACUUAUGGCAAUAAUAUUGAUGUCGUCUUUGACUCAGGGAUACUGGAACUUGCACAGCACAGCCACAAUCCCUGCCAAGCAACGGCAACCCGCAUCAAAAGAGUAUGCCUGGCAGCGGCAAAAGGACCCCAGAACCGAACCCGUACCAAUACCAGUGCCAGAACUGAAGGAUGAAGAUGAGGACAAGAAGGACAAACGAAUUGCGAUAAAGAUAAAUAAGCAGAGAUACACUUGAUGAUGUCCUUGUUGCUCUUGUCGCGCUCACGGCUGCUCCUAUCCUGUUGUUAAGAGUAUA